GAUGAACGCUGGCGGCGUGCUUAACACAUGCAAGUCGAACGGGAAUUACUUUAUUGAAACUUCUGUCGAUUUAAUUUAAUUCUAGUGGCGGACUGGUUAGUCACGCGUGGGUAACCUGCCUUAUACAGGGGGAUAACAGUCAGACAUGGCUGCUAAUACCGCAUCAUCGCACAGAGCUGCAUGGCUCGGUGUGAAAAACUCGGGUGGUAUAAGAUGGACCCGCGUUGGAUUAGCUUGUUGGUGGGGUAACGGCCGACCAGGGAGCCGAUCCAUAGCCGGGCGGAGAGGGUGAACGGCCACAUUGGGACUGAGACACGGACUCGACCGCGACGGGAGGGAGGAGAGGGGAACAUUGUACAAUGGAGGAAACUCUAAUGACGCGACGCGGCGGAAAGGAAGAAGUAGCUUGGUAUGUAAACUCGUAUCAGAAGGGAAGAUAGUGACGGUACUUGACAAAGAAGCCCCGGCUAACUACGUG
rnacentral:rRNA from 1 species